rnacentral:misc_RNA from 1 species
GAUGAAGAACGCAGCGAAAUGCGAUAAGUAAUGUGAAUUGCAGAAUUCAGUGAAUCAUCGAAUCUUUGAACGCACCUUGCACCCUUUGGUAUUCCGAAGGGUAUGCUCGUUUGAGUGUCAUUGUACUCUCACACUUCUAAUUCCUUUCGGGAUUGGGAGCGGUGGACUUGGGUGUUGCUGCUUUAGUUGUGGCUCACCUCAAAUAAGUUAGUGCAACUCUUGGUUGGACAUAGUACGGCGUGAUAAGUGUCUUCGCCGGCGCCUCUGUAAAGAGGGUGGCCGAUCGGGAGCUCUGUGCUUCAAACCGUCUUCGGACAAUCUUUGACAACUUGACCUCAAAUCGAGUAGGACUACCCGCUGAACUUAAGCAUAUCAAUAAGCGGAGGA